ensembl:lncRNA
UGGCUGAUUAAAUCACCUUUAUUAAAAGAUACAAGAUGCUGGAAUACCAACACUUUAGAAUGCAGAAGUACUUUACACACAGGCCCAGGCUUGUGUCCAACAUGGCCCCUUAUUCACUAUAUAGUGCACUACUUUACACACAGGCCCAGGCUUGUGUCCAAUAUGGCCCCUUAUUCACUAUAUAGUGCACUACUUUACACACAGGCCCAGGCUUGUGUCCAAUAUGGCCCCUUAUUCACUAUAUAGUGCACUACUUUACACACAGGCCCAGGCUUGUGUCCAAUAUGGCCCCUUAUUCACUAUAUAGUGCACUACUUUACACACAGGCCCAGGCUUGUGUCCAAUAUGGCCCCUUAUUCACUAUAUAGUGCACUACUUUACACACAGGCCCAGGCUUGUGCCCAACCAAACUCACAUAGAGGCUGUAUCCAAUAUGGCCCCUUAUUCACCAUGUAGUGCACUACUUUAGACCAGAGCCCUAUUCCCUAUAUAGGGCACUACUUUAGACCAAAGCCCUAUUCCAUAUAUAGUGCACUACUUUAGACCAGAGCCCUAUUCCCUAUAUAGUGCACUACUUUAGACCAGAGCCUAAUUCCAUAUAUAGUGCACUACUUUAGACCAGAGCCCUAUUCCCUAGAUAGUGCACUACCUUUAACUACAGCAUUAUUCCAUAUAUAGUGCACUACUUUAGACCAGAGCCCUAUUCCCUAUAUAGUGCACAACAUUAUACUACAGCCCUAUUCCCUAUAUAGUGCACUACUUUAUACUACAGCCCUAUUCCCUAUAUAGUGCACUACUUUUAACCAGAGCCCUGAAUAGACCAGACACCUAAUCAUCUAUAUACAUCUUAAUCUAGCAUUGUGUUUCUCCUAUUAAUCACCCUGUGAAUGACUCUCUAUGGGUCCAGGUUAACACACUAUAAAGGGAACAGAAUGACUCUCUAUGGGUCCAGGUUAACACACUAUAAAGGGGAACAGAAUGACUCUCUAUGGGUCCAGGUUAACACACUAUAAAGGGGAACAGAAUGACUCUCUAUGGGUCCAGGUUAACACUCUAUAAAGGGGAACAGAAUGGCUCUCUAUGGGUCCAGGUUAACACUCUAUAAAGGGAACAGAAUGACUCUCUAUGGGUCCAGGUUAACACUCUAUAAGGGGAACAGAAUGACUCUCUAUGGGUCCAGGUUAACACAUUAUAAAGUGAAUAAGAGUCCAUUUGGAACACAGCCACAGUAGUAAUAACAAAGGUAUUUUUUGAUCAAAAUCCCUGUAAAUAUCUGCGGUAUCCUUGCCAACCCAUUUCAAUCUGCAGGUUGUUUUUUUCUUUUCAAAAUCACAACGUGACAGUAAACCAGUCUUUAAAGAAAAAAGAGAUCUGAAACCAUGCAACACUCAACAAGCCCACGUUACAGUUACUUCUGGGUUCGCCACCGUUUUGAAUGGCAUCAUCAAUAUCAUCAUCAUCAUCAUCAUCAUCAUCAUCAUCAUCAUCAAUAUCAUGAUCAUCGUCAUCAAUAUCAUGAUCAUCAUCAUCAAUAUCAUCAUCAUCAUCAUCAAUAUCAUGAUCAUCAUCAUCAAUAUCAUCAUCAUCAAUAUCAUGAUCAUCGUCAUCAAUAUCAUGAUCAUCAUCAUCAAUAUCAUCAUCAUCAUCAUCAAUAUCAUGAUCAUCAUCAUCAAUAUUAUCAUCAUCAAUAUCAUGAUCAUUAUCAAUAUCAUGAUCAUCAUCAACAAUAUCAUGAUCAUCAUCAAUAUCAUCAUCAUCAAUAUCAUGAUCAUCAUCAAUAUCAUGAUCAUCAUCAUCAUCAUCAAUAUCAUCAUCAUCAUCAUCAAUAUCAUCAUCAUCAACACUUACAACACCAUAAGACUUCACACAACAGUGACAAGGACGUUUUGACGUUUUUUUGGGGGGGGGAGACAGAAUCGAUCAAAUCUCGAAGACCUCAUCCACUGAGUUUCCAUGACAGGACAAAACGGGUCACGUCGUAGAUAGAACGGGGUUCUCUUCUGUUUCAUUAGUUCGUUACCCGAGUCCAUCGCUGCCUUUAGGCCUCAUGCUUGGUGUUAAAGGGGGACAGUGACGAGCAACAGAUAUACACUACACUUCAGCAAACUAACCACUGGCACCAAACACUAACCUGCUGCUCCCAGAUCAGUGUCUAACCUCCGUGUUGGCACCAAACACUAACCUGCAGCUCCCAGAUCAGUGUCUAACCUCCGUGUUGGCACCAAACACUAACCUGCUGCCCCAGAUCAGUGU